UCCGGUUGAUCCUGCCGGACCUACUGCUAUCGGGAUGGGACUAAGACAUGCUAGUCGAGCGCCUCCUAGCCACGCUGGAGGCGCGGCACACAGCUCAGUAACACGUGGCUAACCUGCCCUUGGGACGGAAAUAUCCCCGGGAAACUGGGGCCAAUGUCCGAUAGGCGAAGACCUCUGGAACGAGUCUUCACCCAAAAGACGUUUGGGGCAUGCUUCUAGACGUUGCCCAAGGAUGGGGCCGCGGCCGAUCAGGUUGUUGGUGAGGUAACGGCUCACCGAGCCUAUUACCGGUACGGGCCGUGGGAGCGGUAGCCCGGAGAUGGGCACUGAGACAAGGGCCCAGGCCCUACGGGGCGCAGCAGUCGCGAAAACUUCGCAAUAAGCGAAAGCUUGACGAGGCCAUCCCGAGUGCCAUCUGCUGAGGAUGGCUUUUACCUAGUAUAGAUAGCUGGGGGAAUAAGGAGAGGGCAAGUCUGGUGUCAGCCGCCGCGGUAAUACCAGCUCUCCGAGUUGUGGGGAUAUUUAUUGGGCCUAAAGCAUCCGUAGCCGGCUGAACAAGUCCCCUGUUAAAUCCAGCGACUAAUCGUUGGCCUGCGGGGGAUACUGUUCGGCUAGGGGGCGGGAGAGGCCGUCGGUAUUCUUGGGGUAGGGGUGAAAUCCUAUAAUCCCAGGAGGACCACCAGUGGCGAAGGCUGUCGGCUAGAACGCGCCCGACGGUGAGGGAUGAAAGCUGGGGGAGCGAACUCGGAUUAGAUACCCGGGUAGUCCCAGCUGUAAACGAUGCAGCUAGUGUUAGGGCGGCUACGUGCCGCUCUAGUGCCGCAGGAAGCUGUUAAGCCUGCCGCCUGGGGAGUACCGCCGCAAGGCUGAAACUUAAGGAAUUGGCGGG
rnacentral:rRNA from 1 species